rnacentral:misc_RNA from 1 species
GCAAACUUGGUCAUUUAGAGGAAGUAAAAGUCGUAACAAGGUAACCGUAGGUGAACCUGCGGUUGGAUCAUUACUGAACUAUGGGAAAAAAUUGACCCCCCUUGUGUGAACUGUUAUUAUUUCUUUGGUGGCCCACAAACAUGUUGGCGCGUCUUCUUUUUAGAAAGACGCGACUUCGGGCCACCUAACUGUUAUCAAAUUCUUUGUUUGAUGUAUAUUUUUAUCUUACAUGAUUGUAUAUGAGUCCAAUCUCCAAUAAACAAAAAACAACUUUUGACAAUGGAUCUCUAGGCUCUUGCAUCGAUGAAGAACGCAGC